rnacentral:rRNA from 1 species
AUACGUAGGGAGCGAGCGUUGUCCGGAAUUACUGGGUGUAAAGGGUGCGUAGGCGGGACUGCAAGUCAGAUGUGAAAUGCCGGGGCUAAACCCCGGAGAUGCAUCUGAAACUGUGGUUCUUGAGUGGGGUAGAGGGAAGAGGAAUUCAUAGUGUAGAGGUGAAAUGCGUAGAUAGUGAGAGGAACAUCGGUGGCGAAGGCGGCCUGGUGAGCCUUUACUGACGCUGAUGCACGAAAGCGUGGGGAGCAAACAGGAUUAGAAACCCUUGUAGUCCGCGCUGUAAACGAUGAUGACGAGGUUUGGGGUGUCUGAGCCCUUCCGUGGCGCAGUUAACAUAAUAUGUCCUGCACCUGGAGAAUACGGCCGCAAGUUUGAAACUAAUAAGAAGUUGCGG